GACGAACGCUGGCGGCGUGCUUAACACAUGCAAGUCGAACGGUGACCUCGAGAACUUGCUCUCGGGUGAUCAGUGGCGAACGGGUGAGUAACACGUGAGUAACCUGCCCCAGACUCUGGAAUAACCCCGGGAAACCGGAGCUAAUACCGGAUACGAGACGGAGUCGCAUGGCUACCGUCUGGAAAGUUUUUCGGUCUGGGAUGGACUCGCGGCCUAUCAGCUUGUUGGUGAGGUAACGGCUCACCAAGGCGACGACGGGUAGCCGGCCUGAGAGGGCGACCGGCCACACUGGGACUGAGACACGGCCCAGACUCCUACGGGAGGCAGCAGUGGGGAAUAUUGCACAAUGGGCGAAAGCCUGAUGCAGCGACGCCGCGUGAGGGAUGACGGCCUUCGGGUUGUAAACCUCUUUCAGCAGGGAAGAAGCGAAAGUGACGGUACCUGCAGAAGAAGCACCGGCUAACUACGUGCCAGCAGCCGCGGUAAAAC
rnacentral:rRNA from 1 species